rnacentral:rRNA from 1 species
ACCCAAUAGAUACCCGGGUAGUCCUGGCCCUAAACGAUGUCCACUAGAUCGUGGCGGCUCUAAUGCCGUCAUGGUCGAAAGCAAAAGUGCUAAGUGGACCGCCUGGGAAGUACGGUCGCAAGGCUAAAACUCAAAGGAAUUGACGGGGGCUCACACAAGCGGUGGAGCAUGUGGUUCAAUUCGAAGCAACGCGCAGAACCUUACCUGGGCUUGACAUGCUAGGAUUAUCCCUAUGAAAGUAGGGUAGGCCCUUCGGGUACGAACUAGUACAGGUGCUGCAUGGCUGUCGUCAGCUCGUGUCGUGAGAUGUCGGGUUAAGUCCUUAACGAGCGAAACCUUUGCCUUAGUUACCAGCGGGUUAUGCCGGGACGUCUAA